GCCCCGUGGAGGAGUAGGGUAUCCAAUUGAUGGGUGAAAAAUCAAAAUGUCUGGUUUUGUAGCCAGCACUUUCAGCCAGAGGUUUUCUAAGUGGAACUGAAGUCUCAACUGAUGGGGUUGCCAUGUCGUCAAAAAUUGAAAAGUGAUGCUAUUCCAGUGAAUUUCCCCUUCACUUCAAAGAGGAGGACAUCUGAUCAGCCAACAUCAGUGCAGCAGAAAAGAAGGCAAGCUGAGGGGACUUAGAGUACAUACAAAGCUUCUGCAAGAGGUCGAAGCAGUGGGUGGUGAAGAACAUUGCCACCGCGCCAAAGCCUGCUAAACCAAAUGUCAUUACCCAACACAAGAAGAGGUUCACCAGCUGAAGAACAUUCAGGACCCUGACUGGAACAUUCAGGCAACACAACGUACAUAUUCAGUGAGACUGAUGUUGUAGUAUAAUAUAGAAUGCCCAGUAUGCUCACAACUGCAUUGUGGUAUAGAUAUUUCUAGCUCUUGUACAUAUGUAUAUAAUGGUGUUAUAUAAUAUUUUUGAAUGUAUUAGAUUCAGUGAGUAAACAAUUCCAGGUGCAUCAGAAACCAAUAAAGUGUUGACUUCAA